GAUGAACGCUGGCGGCGUGCCUAAUACAUGCAAGUCGAGCGAACAGACGAGGAGCUUGCUCCUCUGACGUUAGCGGCGGACGGGUGAGUAACACGUGGAUAACCUACCUAUAAGACUGGGAUAACUUCGGGAAACCGGAGCUAAUACCGGAUAAUAUAUUGAACCGCAUGGUUCAAUAGUGAAAGACGGUUUUGCUGUCACUAAUAGAUGGAUCCGCGCCGCAUUAGCUAGUUGGUAAGGUAACGGCUUACCAAGGCAACGAUGCGUAGCCGACCUGAGAGGGUGAUCGGCCACACUGGAACUGAGACACGGUCCAGACUCCUACGGGAGGCAGCAGUAGGGAAUCUUCCGCAAUGGGCGAAAGCCUGACGGAGCAACGCCGCGUGAGUGAUGAAGGUCUUCGGAUCGUAAAACUCUGUUAUUAGGGAAGAACAAAUGUGUAAGUAACUAUGCACGUCUUGACGGUAUCUAAUUAGAAAGCCACGGCUAACUACGU
rnacentral:rRNA from 1 species